UACGAAGGGGGCGAGCGUUGUUCGGAUUUACUGGGCGUAAAGAGCGCGCAGGCGGUCGUUCAAGUCGAGUGUGAAAUCCCUCGGCUUAACCGGGGAACUGCAUCUGAUACUGGAUGGCUUGAGUUCGGGAGAGGGAUGCGGAAUUCCAGGUGUAGCGGUGAAAUGCGUAGAUAUCUGGAGGAACACCGGUGGCGAAGGCGGCAUCCUGGACCGACACUGACGCUGAGGAGCGAAAGCCAGGGGAGCAAACGGG
rnacentral:rRNA from 1 species